rnacentral:lncRNA from 10 species
AUACUGGUUCGCGCAGGGCUCGGGACGGGGCGCUUGGCUUCUGAGGCACCCGCGCUGGCUCCUCACCCGGUGACCUUCAGGCCUCUGCGCUUGGCCUGACCCUAGAAGGGCCACCGCCCUUCACAGCGGGCGGGCACCGUCCCUCCCACGGCCCCGCCGACUGCUGACGCGGUGGCCCCAAGGGUCCAGGCCCGCACUUGCCCCACUCCCGCGGCGCCGUCCCCCAUAGUCGGUCCCCGAGGGCCGCGCCCAGCUCCUGCUCGGAUUUCAGCCCGCACCGCACCCCAGCCGCCAGGGAACCUUCCAGAACCCUGCCCCUCUGGCUUUCUCCCGAAAGCCCAGGGUCGCCGUCCAGGAAGAAACUUCGAUUCAUUUAUUGAGCGCCGACUGUGUCCAAGGCCGAGGGAGGGGCGGGGUUUCCACGCGGGGAGACCCCCUAGGUUCUCGCCUCGGUAAGCGCCCGCGUUCCAGCACCUCGAGUCGCCCGCGGGCCCCCACCCCUCGGGCCGGGCCCGGUCCUCGAGGAAAACCCACGGCGGGGCAGGAAGGAACGAGGAGAGCCACGCUCCUUGCCCGCCUCGUCCCCUCCACUCCCCUUCACCUCACGGGACCCCAGGGAAGCCGCCGGAGCUAAAAUUAGCAACCCGCGCAGCGCGCGCUCACGUGCGCGCGGCCCGGCGGGGGCGGGGAGCAAGGGGCGCGGUCCGGGUGAGUCACCGGCCCCGCCCCACUCGCCAAGAACGCGCUGACGUCAGCCGCUUCCCCGAAGGGUGACGUAAGCGCGCCACGGGGAGGCCGAGGCAGCUGAUAGAAUGUUCUGAGUUUCGAUGCCUUAAAGGGACCAGGCCUGGGAUCGUGAAACAUCUGGGGAAACGACUCCACUCACUCACCUGCAGACUGAGAGCCCAUCUUGUACCGUGUUAUACUUUAAGAGAGUUGACUGUUGAGAUGAUGAUGAAAACGGAAGAACAACUGAGCCUAGUUGGAGGCUCUUUGAAGUCCCAGAACCUCCUCCUGGAAGCCCUCUUUGGUUAACCAGAUGGACAUCUCAGUUGCCCUCUGAGCCUGAACCAAGUGUCAGGAAGAGUUUUCUAUGGCCCUUGACUCCUUAACUCUUUGCUUAUAGCGUCUCUGCUCUCUGAUGCCUCUGCUGUCAGAGAAAGGCUGUGGUUUAAAUAUUUAUUUAUGAAUCCAUCAGCUUGGGCCAACUAGGUCCAUUUAUCACCGUUUUGACUGUGUCUAAACUGUCAUUAGUGGUGUGACUAGAAACCAGUUAAUUUCGCUGGGUGGUAAAUUCGUGGACUGAUCUCCAAACCCUCCUACUGUGCUAAUGUUGCCAAUGGAAGUUUCCAGAGGCCAGGAUCCCUGGCCAACACGUGAUCGUAAACAACAUCAGGGCCUCACAGGGAACUCA